CCCCCUCCUCUCUCCUCUCUCUCUCCUCUCUCUCCUCUCUCUCCCCUCUCUCUCUCUCCCCCCCCUACCCCCCUCCACAAUAAUAGAAUGGGGAUAUUUGGCAACAAGUAAUUUACAUACAGAAUUUAACUGAGAUGCUCAUAGAAAGCAGGGCUUUCUUCACGUUACAGCCUAUCCACGAGGAUUAGAGGGCACAUUGCCAUAGCCACAUGUUAUCAGGAUGUGGAUUUGGAACUGAGGAUGUGUUAUGCCGUUUUGACUGACUCUGACUUAACGCUGCACUCUAAUAAAUACUGCACUAUUGCAUUGCUGUAAAUAACGUUAAACUUGCCACGUUGUAAGCAUUUUGAUCAUCUAUCCUACAGCCAGGGCUGGGUUUAUUCAGUAAAAAUAAAUUGUACUGAACUGUAAACAAAAUUGGGGAAAUUCAAGCUGAAGU